GAUGAACGCUGGCGGCGUGCCUAAUACAUGCAAGUCGAGCGAACAGAUAAGGAGCUUGCUCCUUUGACGUUAGCGGCGGACGGGUGAGUAACACGUGGGUAACCUACCUAUAAGACUGGGAUAACUUCGGGAAACCGGAGCUAAUACCGGAUAACAUUUGGAACCGCAUGGUUCUAAAGUGAAAGAUGGUUUUGCUAUCACUUAUAGAUGGACCCGCGCCGUAUUAGCUAGUUGGUAAGGUAACGGCUUACCAAGGCAACGAUACGUAGCCGACCUGAGAGGGUGAUCGGCCACACUGGAACUGAGACACGGUCCAGACUCCUACGGGAGGCAGCAGUAGGGAAUCUUCCGCAAUGGGCGAAAGCCUGACGGAGCAACGCCGCGUGAGUGAUGAAGGGUUUCGGCUCGUAAAACUCUGUUAUUAGGGAAGAACAAAUGUGUAAGUAACUGUGCACGUCUUGACGGUACCUAAUCAGAAAGCCACGGCUAGCUACGUG
rnacentral:rRNA from 1 species